GUGCUUGACCUCCUGACCCCUGGGGAGCAAUGCUUUGGGAAAAAAAAAACAACCCACAAUGGAUUUCAGGAAGUGAACUGGAGUCGACAGGAGCUGGGAGUCAUAGGCGGCGCAGAGCGGAGCAGCUUUCAACACGUUUCACAGACAGAGGGCUGUGGAGCAGCGCAGAUCCAGGCCCGUCUGCUCUCACUCUGCCUUCUGAGGAUGAAAAGAGAAGACUUCAUUACCAGCACAAACCACGCCUCCACCCCUCUUGGUCUCCCUCCUCCUUCUCCACUACCUCCUGGUUUCCCUUCCAUGCUCCCAGGCAGUAGCACGCUCCAGGGCCUGUCCCGACCAAGAGAGGGUGAUCAGACUGCCAAAAGACAAAAAAAAAAAAAAAAAAAAAAAAAAAGAAAGAAAGAAGGAAAGAAAAACUCCUCCUAUCCCACCGCCUGCCAGUGUGUGUAGUGGAAAGGCAGAGAGGGACACAGGAGUUGGAGAAACAGAGAGCCAGCACAUAUAACUCCAUCCACAAACUGUUACGAGGAGUUUUACAUUAAUUAUAUCGUCUCUGACUUGUUUCUGCUCAGUAGUUCUGCCAGUGAAGCAUGACAGAAUGAAAUUAUAGGUAUGAGAUGUGAGUGACAGUGAGAGAAGCUGCAGCUGAGAACGUUAAAGUGAAACAACGAGGUGGGGGAACAGAAGAAGGAAAAUUAAAUUUGGAACAAGGAAAUAUUGUUGAGGUGUGAGGGUGAGGAGACAGACAGGAAGACAGAAAGAAAACCCCAGACAGACGGAGACACACGAUCAAUUAUAAAGUUUCAGAGAAUAAAGCUGAAGGAAAAAAGGCUUGUUCAACCAGAGAUGGUUGGAAGGUCUAAUUAAAACUUACUGUAAGAAAUAUC